rnacentral:rRNA from 1 species
CAGUAGCCGCGGGAAUACGUAGGUGGCAAGCGUUGUCCGGAAUUAUUGGGCGUAAAGGGCUCGCAGGCGGUUUCUUAAGUCUGAUGUGAAAGCCCCCGGCUCAACCGGGGAGGGUCAUUGGAAACUGGGAAACUUGAGUGCAGAAGAGGAGAGUGGAAUUCCACGUGUAGCGGUGAAAUGCGUAGAGAUGUGGAGGAACACCAGUGGCGAAGGCGACUCUCUGGUCUGUAACUGACGCUGAUGAGCGAAAGCGUGGGGAGCGAACAGGAUUAGAUACCCCGGUAGUCCCUGUCUCUUAUAC